GAUGAACGCUGGCGGCGUGCCUAAUACAUGCAAGUCGAGCGAACAGACGAGCUUUUUGCUCCUCUUACGUUAUCGUCGGACGGGUAAGUAACACGUAGCUAACCUAUCUAUAAGCCUGGACUUACUUCUGGAACCCGGAGCUAAUAUCUGAUACUAUAUUGAACUGCAUGGUUCUAUAUUUAAUGACGGUUUUGCUGUCACUUAUAGAUGGUUAGGUGCCGCAUUAUCUAGUUGGUAAUGUAACGGUUUACUAAGGCAACGAUGAGUAGCCGACGUGAGAGGGUGAUCGGCCACACUGAAACUGAGACACGGUCAAGACUCCUACGGGAAGCAGCAGUAGCAAAUCUUAAGCAAUGGGCGAAAGCCUAACGCAGCAACACCGAGUGAGUGAUGAAGAUCUUCGGAUCCUAAAACUCUGUUAUUAUGGAAGAACAAAUAUCUAAGUAACUAUAAACGUCUUGACGGUACCUAAACAAAAAGCAACGGCUAACUACGUG
rnacentral:rRNA from 1 species